rnacentral:lncRNA from 1 species
AGACUCACACGCUAGUCACUAGGCUGUCUCUCCCAAGAGACAAUCGAAUGCCAUCCUAUUGCGUACAACAGUCAAACCAAUCCAAUUAUUUGGAAACAUUUGAUCCUGAAUCUAUAGUGGUUCCAUUUUGGAACUGAGUGAAGGAAGCCCUGAUCUACUGUAUGUGAGCCAUCUCGGCCUAAAAAAAUCUUUCAAAAAACAAAUUUGUCUAAAAAAUGUUUCAAAAAUAUCACCAUGGUCUCCCAUAUUUAAAAAAACAAAUCUUUCAAAAAGAGGAACUAAACCUCCAAAGAUAACUUUCAAAAAAGUUGCUAAAAAAAUCUUUCAUACAACAAAUUAUCUGAAAAAAUCUUUCAAGGAACAAAUUGAAUGUUUGAAAAGUUUGUUUUUUUAAUGUUCACAAGACGGACCUGUAAUCUCUAAAAAACAAAUUUCAAUAUAUACAUGAAGAAACAAUAAAUGCAAAUCUCGUGUGUAUUUUGAGUUUGGAUUUGAAUUGCUAUUACAGAUUGUAAACAUGCAUGUUGAGAACAUUCACAAGAGAAAACAAAAGGCAAAAUACACGUGGAGAAACAAAAAAGGCAAAUCUCAUGUUUAUUUUGAGUUUGGAUUUGAAUUGUUAUUACGGAUUGUAAACACACAUGUUGUGAACAUUCACAAGAGAGAAAAAAUUAGGAGCAUGGGAGCAUUUUAGUUGUAGGAGCACUUGAAUCCAACAUUGGCGAUCUCUACAUUCCUCCAUUUAUUUCUAUGUUCAUCUAUGUUUGGGUGAUUAAUUCGGUUCUAGGCCAAGGUAUGAUCCAGUAUGCAAUAUUAAUCUUUAUGGCAUCAUCUAGUGUUUACUCUCGCGGUGUUCUACAUGUGAUCGUGUGAGCACUAGCACGUACACAGGGUGAAUAGAUGAAAUUUGUGUGAUCCCUGGGUUCGUUGUAUAUUAUUGGUACCCCCGUGUGACCUUGGCGCGAGUUUAUGUCUAGUACGCCUAUGGAAGUAACAGUCCAUGGAUCAAAAUCAAAGGAUACCAUUUAGUAUUUCUAAGAACUCUUUCCUUAUUCUUAAGAGUAAUUUUUAUGCUCUUUUGAGGCAUUACUGCAUGUAAUACUAGUAUGUCACUGCCACUUAGUCGCCCCUCUAGUAUUAGCCAGACCGAAAGCCUAGACAUAGUGUUUUGCUUUAUUCGAUCCUACCGUUACAAGCCUCUUUUACUAUAUAUUCUAGCUUAGUUCAUUUUACAUCUUAGUUGUAGUUUCCUUAAAGAAAACCUUUAUUUAUCGCUUGCCUACCAACCGAUGGAAUAGAAUAUUUCCAAACUAUGGUUUGGAUGUGAAUGUAGUUGCGUAGGUGACAACCUAGUCGCGUGGUUGAUAGUAUUUUCCUAUUCGCUCCAUAUAGGUUUGACACUUACUUAUCAUGAAUUGCAACAACUUUGCGCACUUGCAUGCCAUCAAUCAAUAUGGAUUCAUAGAACCCCAUAGUUUGUUUUAAUUAUGCCCCUUCCAUCUAUGCUUCUCAUUCGUCGACAAUGGUUGUUGUUCUGGUGCUCUACUCCUAUGGGACCUAGCGUGAUGACUCCGUGCUUGUCUACGAUGACAAGGCCCACUGGCUCUAGUGAGGAAUGACAAUGAUGGUGGCGCGUCUUAGGUUCACUCUAGUGGUUGUGGUCAUCACUAUGUGGUCCAUGGAACAAAUAUUUGUUAUUUCUUCAGAUCAUUGUACUAUUGUGUCUUAUCAUUACUAGCUUGAAGGUCAUUUUAGAAAAAAAAAUGGACGGAUUUGGCAAUAUGGGUGAAACCAUUUGAAAGUAAAACUUUAUAUAUUGAUCAGAGUCAGUGCUCAGUGGUUGUUGGCAUCUGCGUUACUUAUCGCUCGAUGUUAGUUGAGGGCUUUAAUACCCUUUACAUGUAUAAGUUAUAUUCUUGGCAUCGGCGUGGUCUACAUGCUAGGCCCGGGAAACCAUGAUAUUUCUCACAUUGCACCAUUGAUCUAUUUGUUGUUGCUCUUUCACUUACUUAUAGGCACGCGAUGCAUUGGGAUGAUUACAAAAAUACAUCGAAUAAUUUAACAUCUUCAUAUUGUCAAGACUAGACCCUCUUUACCAUACACCAAUGCAAGGUGUUUUGCGGGCCUUCACAAAAUUGAGAAUGAACAGAAGAUGGGCCUGGCCAGAAUAUGCACAAGAUUUGGAGGAGAAAGCAAGAGAGAUGAGUGCGGUACUUGAGUAGUCCAAGUGAUGUGUGUAUUGCGAGGCUACAUGUCCACAUGUGUCCGUUUUGCUUGGGUAGCCCAUCGAUGCAAAUAAAAGUGUAGAGAUUAGAAUAAACCCUUAUGUUGUAAAUCUCAAAGCGGCUGCUCCCUUUCCACCCUUAUGCAUGGGUUAGCUAUUCAGGCAAAUUAACAAAGGGUGAGGGAGCCCUUGUUGCGCUCCCAUCUUUCUCAUGUCGAUGUGAGACUGGAGGAGCUACGGCUUCGUCGUCCAAGAGUAGCACUAGUCACUCAACAGAAAAUGAAUUAACGAGAGCUCUGUGCAGUUGAACGAGCGGCUUGGUGUAAAUUGAAUCUAAUCGUCUAACCAACCACAAAAGUUGUGUGUACUCCGUAUUUAGCCAAGUACUCUCACAUCUAGAAAUAUGAUAAAAUACAUAUAAACCUAGAGGUGCCAAAAAGUUGAGUUGAUAACAUAAGAACAAAAUUGAAAAAGCAUUUAUUUAUUUUAUUUGAUUAUGUAUGAUUGUAAAAUAUUUAUUGAAUAUAAGUAUGUUAAUUACAUGGAAAAUAUUUUCCCAUGCAUGGCUGAAUGUUAUGGUGGGAUUUUUCUCACACAUGAUUGCAUGCAAAGGUAGAUCUUAUCCCAUUCAUAAUUAUAUGAUGAGGUGGCAUGUUGUGUGUUUCCAGAUAAAUAAAUCAGUGGGAUGACUCUCUUUGAUAAAAUAAUAUAGGAUAUAUGAUUCCACACAAAAGUAUACUUGAGUGUCAAACUAUUUACAUUCCAUGUUUUUAUCUAUGAUUACUCAUGGCUUUAUCCAAGGGCACCCCCUAAGUGGUGGCACAAAAUUCCCUUAGAGAAGCAUCCUACAAAUCUCC